GAGACCAGGACGUUGAUAGGCAGGGUGUGGAAGCGCUGUGAGGCGUGCAGCUAACCUGUACUAAUUACCCGUGCGGCUUAACCAUACAACACCCAAGAAGUGU
rnacentral:rRNA from 1 species